UACAGAGGUCUCAAGCGUUGUUCGGAUUCAUUGGGCGUAAAGGGUGCGUAGGUGGCGAGGUAAGUCUGGUGUGAAAUCCCGGGGCUCAACCUCGGAACUGCACUGGAUACUGCCCUGCUAGAGUACUGGAGAGGAGAUUGGAAUUUACGGUGUAGCAGUGAAAUGCGUAGAUAUCGUAAGGAAGCCAAGUGGCGAAGGCGAAUCUCUGGACAGUUACUGACACUGAGGAACGAAGGCAAGGGAGCAAACGGG
rnacentral:rRNA from 1 species